GACGAACGCUGGCGGCGUGCUUAACACAUGCAAGUUGAACGAAGUGGCGAACGGGUGAGUAACGCGUAAUCAAACUGCCCUUCAGAGGGGGACAACAGUUGGAAACGACUGCUAAUAACGCAUACUGAAGGAGGGGCUUGCGUCUGAUUAGCUAGGUGGAGGGGUAACGGCACACUAAGGCGAUGAUCAGUAGCCGGUCUGAGCGGAGGAACGGCGACAUUGGGACUGAGACACGGCCCGGACUCGUACGGGAGCCAGCAGUGGGGAAUCUUCCGCAAUGGACGAAAGUCUGACGGGGCAACGCCGCGUGAGUGAUGACGGCCUUCGGGUUGUAAAGCUCUGUUAAUCGGGACGCGGUACCGGAAUAGAAAGCCACGGCUAACUACGUGCCAGCAGCCGCGGUAAUAC
rnacentral:rRNA from 1 species